UACGACUACAUAUCAGGCAUAUCAAUAAGCGGAGGAAAAGAAACUAACUAGGAUUCCCUCAGUAACGGCGAGUGAAGCGGGAAGAGCUCAAAUUUGAAAUCUUCAAGGUUUUACCUUGACGAAUUGUAGUUUAAAGAAGUGUUUUCUGUUGGUGUUUCGGUAAAAGUUCUUUGGAAUAGGACAUCAUAGAGGGUGAGAAUCCCGUAUUUGGUACAUUCCUCCUAGCGUUGUGAUACACUUUCAACGAGUCGGAUUGUUUGGGAAUGCAGUCCAAAAUGGGUGGUAAAUUUCAUCUAAAGCUAAAUAAUCUGGCGAGAGACCGAUAGCGAACAAGUACCGUGAGGGAAAGAUGAAAAGAACUUUGAAAAGAGAGUUAAACAGUACGCUGAAAUUGUCAAAAGGGAAGCGUUUGACACCAGUGUUGUUUUUCCGAAAAUCAAUUACGAAUGUUUUGUUUUUGAGGAGUUAUGACUUCAUCGGCUUGCUCCUUUCUUUACGAAACUUUCUUAAUGCACUUUUCGGUUAACAAGUCAACAUCAAUUUCUUUUGUUGUAAAAGGGUAUGAGGAAGGUGGCUUUCUUUUCGGAGAAAGUGUUUAUAGCCUUGUGCCUCUGCAAUCGGAGAGAUUGAGGUCUGCAGCGUAGAUCCUUCGGGGUUAGAUACAUUUGUGCUAAGUUAUAGCUUUUCAUAGACAACUUGUUGACUAUGUUUAGUCUUGUAGCUUACUCGCUUAUGCUAUUUUACCUACGCUUAGGAUGUUGAACGCGCACAGAGUCUC
rnacentral:rRNA from 1 species